rnacentral:lncRNA from 1 species
UGUACAUUGAUUUCCUGUACCGAUCAAAAACAACCUUCGCUCAGUGUUGACGUUGGUGGACAGCCAUCACAUCAGUUUGCUAAGAGGUAACUAGUACAUUUAAUCAGUUUGUUACGUGGAAUUACAUUCAAUCUAUUUGUUAUAUGUAGUUAGUAGUAAUUUGUUAGUUGAUUACGUACUAUGAGUUGAGUACAUUUGAUUAGUAUUUAAAUUAGCUAAAUUAGUAAUACUAUAUUAAUAAUUAGUAUUCAUGUUUAGGAUUUACAAGUUUUUACAUUAUAAUGUUUCUAUUUAGUACAAGUAGUCACUAAUAAUUAUAUUUAAUACGUUCUUGUUUAGAAUGAUCAAAAUUUCUAUUAAAAGUAAAUAGUACAAGUAGGUAAAAAAGUAAAUACUAAAUAGUAAUGGUAAUAAUAAUAAUAAAAAAGUAAAUAGUAAAAAAAGGUGAAUAGUAAAUAGUAUGUAGUAAAUAAUGAAAGUAAAAAAAGUAAUAGUCAUAGGAAAAAAAGUACUCCCGUAUAUUAAAUGAUAGUAAAUGUAAAUAAUAAUAGUAAAAAUAAUUAAUUAAUAAUUGAAAAGGACAAAUGAUAAAUAGUAAAGUAAAAAGUAAUUAUAAAAUAUUUAAUAAUAAUAGUAAAUAGUUAAUAACAGUAAUAUUAAUACUGGUCAUAGUCAAUACUAGCAAUUAUUUAGUAAUAGUAAUACUAAUAAUGCUGAAAAAGAAUAGUAAUAAAUGCGAUAUUAAUAAAAAAAAGUCAUAAGUAGUAGCAAUUACUUACAAAUAUUAAUAGUAAUAAUAGUGCAAAAAAAUAGUAAUAAAUGUUUAAUUAAUAUUAAAUAAGAAUCAUUAAAUUAUUGCAUAUUUAUAGCAUAUGUGUUGUUAAUUUAUAAAUUCGUUCUUGUUUAGUUAUUCUACUAUUUAAUACUACUGCAUAUUAUUUCGUUCAUGAUUAUUUUUUUAUGGAUAUGAUCAAUUUCAGUUUAGUUAAUCUAAAUUUAUGUUGAGAAUGACGUAGGUGCUUGAAUCUAAAAUAAAUAAUAUUCAUAAAAUUAGGUACAACUAUGUCCACGGAUCUCGCAUUGGUGAUUCAGUUUUAUUGGGGAGGAAAAAUAGUGGAGACCGGAGGAUCAUUUUCAUAUGAUCCGUCGAGAUGUAAAAAAGCCAUUUUAGUAAAAAAUCGAAUAAGUUAUUCCGAGUUGGUUGAUAGAGUAUACACUUACAUGGGUUUAGAUCGAACUGCGUUCAAUUUAAAUCUGUGGUUUAGAAAUUCAGUAGGUCUAAGUACUUUUGCUGGACUACGCUUGGGGUGUGAAGAACACAUGAAUAUGCUAUACCAUAUGAAAAUGAUGACACCACAAACGGCAUGUGAGAUAUACGUUGAGGUGGAACCACAGUUACGGCAUUACCACAGUAAUGUCGAUGUUGGACAAACCUCAAGAUGGGACCAAGGUGGUUCCCAAGUGGAGUCAGACCUUUUGCUUUCUACCACCUCAUGUUGUAGUACUAUGCCAGUACAAGCUGAAUCUGCAUUCAUGACCGAUGAUGAGUCCAAUCAUCGGCUGGGGCAAAUUUCUCGAACUUCCUGUCUACCGAUUAUACUAGAAAGUGAGGGAGUUGAUGUAGAUCCUGACACCGAACCUGAACUUGAUGACGAUAACUCUGAUGAUACCGAUGACGAAUAGGAUGAUGCCAACCAAAAAGAGUUCAAUCUUGAUGUUGGUAGGUCCGAUCCGAAUUCGUCAAGUAACUUUCAAAAGGACAUAGGAUUAUAAGAUAGCGAGGGAGUUGAUGCUACAUUGGUUUUUGAUCCCACUAAUAUCAUUGGAGUUGAGAAAUUAAACAUGUGGGAUGACCGUACAAAGGAGUUAAGAUUGGGCAUGGUGUUUGAAACCAAGAAACAACUGUAGCGAGCUGUUAAACUGUGGUCAAUCAAACACAAUAGGGAGUACAGAGUACGAGAAAGUAAACCAACGACCUGGUAUGUUAAAUGCAGGUCCGAAAAUACUUUUCCACCGUGUAAUUGGCAGCUUAGAGCAUCAUUGAGAUGUACACACAAUAUGUGAAAAAUUGUAACUUUUGUAAAAGAGCACACAUGUAUCCGGGUGUCGAACAGCAAUGAUCACCGACAAUUGACUUCUGAACUAAUUGCGGAUCAUAUCAUACAUCAUGUCUAGAAUGGGCCACUUUAUGCCAUUAAGGAAAUUCAAACAACCAUUAAGUGUGCUUUUGAUAUAGCUGUCUCGUACAAAAAGGCUUGGUAGGCAAGGUGCCGUGCGAUUGACAUCGUAUAUGGUGAUUGGCCCACUUCAAUAGCACGACUACCAACUUUCCUGCAAGAGUUGGUACUGGCUAAUCCGGAAACAGCUGUGGUAUGGCAACAUCAUCCACAAAGUACUGUUGGAUGUACAGUUUUUCACCAUGAGUUUUGGCCAUUUGGACCCGUUAUCGAGGCAUUUCGACACCUGAAAUCAGCUAUUUGUGUUGAUGGCACAUUCAUGAAAGGGACAUACAAGUCAAAGUUAUUAGUAGCAGUUGGAUUUGAUGCUAGCAAUCAUCAAUUUCCGCUUGCUUUCGCACUUGUUGAUGAGGAGACCAAUCGGAGUUGGUCUUGGUUUAUGUCCCAAUUACGCCACCACGUGUGUCGAGAAGUGGAAAAUAUAUAUGUCAUUUCAGAUCGCCACAGGGGGAUAAUGCACGCGAUGAAAACCUUGCCAGAGUGGAAGGAGCCGCUUGUAGUGCAUCAAUAUUGUUUGGUCCACGUGCAAAGCAAUUUCACGUAGAAAUUUAAAAAUCAGAGGUAGGAAUUAAAUUUUUAGUAUUUUUUGUUAUUCCUGUCAUGGUUGAGAUUCGUAAUUGGUUAGAUUCCUUUCACACAUUUUUUUAGAUUUAAAUCAUUUCAUAUAUUCUUUUUAGACUUAAGGAUCGCGUAUGAGCUGCCGGAGCUGCAAAUCAAGCAAAGAAGUACGAAGCAUUCAUGGAACAGAUUUGGCUAAUAAAUGAAAAGGUAUACAAAUGGCUUAAUAGCGGAUCUGUUAAACCAGAACAAUGGGCACUGUGUAAGGAUGGGGGAUAUCGAUGGGGUCAUACAUCAACCAACGUAGCGGAAUGCUUCAAUAACCUGUUGCACAAAGCUCGAUUAUUACCAAUCACAGCUUGCGUAUAAUUCACUUUCAAUCAAAUCGUUGAUCUUUUCACAAAGAAAUGAAAGAUGGCCUUUAAUGCGAUAUACCUUUUUCCAAAGGAGAUAUGACAAAUGUUCGUAGCAAAUGAGUUAAAUGCAAGGACGCACUCAGUGCAAGUGUAUGACCAUAGAAACGGAAUCUAUUGCGUAACAACGGGGUGACGCGAUAAUGGGAAGGGGGGUAAUGAACAAAUUAUCCACUUUGGAAAUAGAACGUGCACGUGUGGUAAAUGGACAGAACUUCGAUUCCCAUGCUCCCAUGUUAUUGUGUCAUGUUAUCGAUCGGGAACAAAUUCACACCAUCUAGUUGGUCAUGCACAUACAUUUUCAGCAUGGCAGGCUUCUUUGCAGGGCCAGUUGUUUCCUUUGAGGGAUACAGCUUAUUGGGUCCCUUCAGACUUGCAUCUUAAUUAUGAUUCCACCAGAGUCAAGCAAAAGCGACCCGGCCCUAAGGCCAUAGCCAGAAUACAUAAUCAGAUGGAUCGUCGAUGUCCGGAUGCACCUCGUUGCUAUAGCCACUGUUCACAGACAGGACACAAUGCCUCCAAUUGCCCUUACUCUAGCCAUUUUACUGUUUAGUUGAGGGUCAAAGUAGGACAUUUGUAUCAUAAGUUAUGGUUCUGCAUGCUCAUUCUGUAGUAUAUUAGAACUUUUGUUGUAAUAUUAUAUGUUUGACAUCCCUUAAUGAAGUGGGUUAAUUUGGAUUGUAAUCUACUUGUAUACGUGCCUAACAUCCGUUUGCAACAAUUACUUUCUUUUUGUGUCUAAUUGUAAAUUUAUUAUGUCAUUUUUUAUUAUUUAUAAACUUUUUUAUAGAUAUGGAACAUUGGCCCAGACGUACAGCCAAGCCCAUCCAGGGUCCACAUGUUGACGAUGUCUUAUACUUGCAGUCCACGCAUAGAUCGAGAGCAAUUUUUUUGGGGCACGAGGUUCAG